ensembl:lncRNA
GUAAUUCCAAAAGACACAACUAUGGACAAAUUAUGAGAUCUGAAAAUGUGUCAAAAACUGGGUAGAUUUGAAAUCAGUAUAAAGAAGCCAGCAGUAAACACCUUGAAGACACGUUAGAAUGAUAAUACUUUUAAUAGCUAUAAAGUCUUGUCAGGCAAUAAUUUUGUUGUUUUUGUUCAGUUGCUAAGUCUUGUCUGACUCUUUGCAACCCCAUGGCCUGCAGCCCGCCAGGCUUCCCUGUCCUUCACCAGCUCCCAGAGCUUGCUCAGACUCAUGUCCAUUGAGUCAGUGACGCCAUCCAACCAUCUCAUUCUCUGUCACCCCCUUCUCCUCUUGCCUUCAGCCUUUCACAACAUCAAGGUCUUUUCCAGUGAGUCAACUCUAAUGAUAAAUCUGUCAAAAGAUUAUGGGAGAAAUUAUAAAACUAUACAGAGAGUUAUUAACUAGGAGAAGCAAAUUGAGAGGUAUACCAUGUUUAUGAAUAGGAAGACCCAAUUUGUAAAGAUACUAGCUUACAACCAAUAUAAUUCGUAAAUUCAAUGCAAUACUAUGGUUUAAGUCAAUGCUGAUUUAUAAUCAAUACUAAUUCUGAAAUGUAUGUGAAAAAGCAAAGAUCCAACAAUAACCAAGACAUCCCUGCAGAAGAAAAUCAGACUCCAAGGUUACUGUAAAGUUAUACUCAUUAAUAUAAUGCAGUGUUUGUUCAGAUCAAUAGACGGGCAGACCAAUGAAACAGAAUUGAGAGCCAGAAAUGAACCCAUUCACAGAAAUGCGAUUUCCAGUGGGAGUCAACACCAGUUAAUGGGAUCGAGGUGAUUUUCAUCUAUGCGGAAAAGAUGAAGUUGAGUACUUUCAUCGCACCAUAUGCUGACAUCAACUGCAUUUGGAUUAGAAAAAUUGAAAAGCAUGUCCAUAUGUUCUUGCAAUAGGAAGAACUUAUUAAUCAAGGCUGUAAAGGAAUACAUAAAAUAAAAUGAAAACCAUAAAGGAAGAGAUUGAUAUCUUUAAUCACAAAGAGACAGGCAGGGGCCAAUCAAGCAGAGGAUCGUAGCUUCUAGAAGGAAAGUUGGUGGUCCUGCUGAGCCUUGUGGGAAGAUACUGAAGGGUUUUGAGUAGGAGAUUAUUAUGA